GCCGGGAUGGUGGAAUGGCAGACACGCACGCUUAAGGAGCGUGUGCCGCAAGGCGUGGGAGUUCAACUCUCCCUCUCGGCA
rnacentral:tRNA from 1 species